rnacentral:rRNA from 1 species
UGAGCAACCUGCCCCUGACUCUGGGAUAACCCCGGGAAACCGGAGCUAAUAUCGGAUACGACACGCGAAGGCAUCUUCUGCGUGUAGAAAGAUUUAUCGGUCAGGGAUGGGCUCGCGGCCUAUCAGCUUGUUGGUGGGGUAACGGCCACCAAGGCGACGACGGGUAGCCGGCCUGAGAGGGCGACCGGCCACACUGGGACUGAGACACGGCCCAGACUCCUACGGGAGGCA